rnacentral:rRNA from 1 species
AUUGAACGCUGGCGGCAGGCCUAACACAUGCAAGUCGAACGAGUGGCGGACGGGUGCGUAAUGUCUGGGAAACUGCCUGCUGGAGGGGGAUAACUACUGGAACCGGUAGCUAAUACCGCAUACCAUCGGAUGUGCCCGGAUGGGGUUAGCUUGUAGGUGGGGUAAAGGCUCACCUAGGCGACGAUCCCUAGCUGGUCUGAGAGGAGGACAAGCCAAACUGGAACGGAGAAACGGUCCAGACUCCUACGGGAGGCAGCAGUGGGGAAGAUGGCACAAGGGGCGCAAGCCUGAUGCAGCCAUGCCGCGUGUAUGAAGAAGGCCUUCGGGUUGUAAAGUACUUUCAGCGGGGAGGCGUUACCCGCAGAAGAAGCACCGGCUAACUCCGUGCCAGCAGCCGCGGUAAUA